UCGACCUGAGCUUAGGCAAGAGC
rnacentral:rRNA from 1 species